rnacentral:rRNA from 1 species
GAUGAACGCUGGCGGCGUGCCUAAUACAUGCCAGUCGAGCGAACGGACGAGAAGCUUGCUUCUCUGAUGUUAGCGGCGGACGGGUGAGUAACACGUGGAUAACCUACCUAUAAGACUGGGAUAACUUCGGGAAACCGGAGCUAAUACCGGAUAAUAUUUUGAACCGCAUGGUUCAAAAGUGAAAGACGGUCUUGCUGUCACUUAUAGAUGGAUCCGCGCUGCAUUAGCUAGUUGGUAAGGUAACGGCUUACCAAGGCAACGAUGCAUAGCCGACCUGUGAGGGUGAUCGGCCACACUGGACCUGAGACACGGUCCAGACUCCUCCGGGAGGCAGCAGUAGGGAAUCUUCCGCAAUGGGCGAAAGCCUGACGGAGCCACGCCGCGUGAGUGAUGAAGGUCUUCGGAUCGUAAAACUCUGUUAUUAGGGAAGAACAUAUGUGUAAGUAACUGUGCACAUCUUGACGGUACCUAAUCAGAAAGCCACGGCUAACUACGUG